rnacentral:rRNA from 1 species
UGGGGAAUAUUGCACAAUGGGCGAAAGCCUGAUGCAGCGACGCCGCGUGAGGGAUGACGGCCUUCGGGUUGUAAACCUCUUUCAGCAGGGAAGAAGCGAAAGUGACGGUACCUGCAGAAGAAGCGCCGGCUAACUACGUGCCAGCAGCCGCGGUAAUACGUAGGGCGCAAGCGUUGUCCGGAAUUAUUGGGCGUAAAGAGCUCGUAGGCGGCUUGUCGCGUCGGUUGUGAAAGCCCGGGGCUUAACCCCGGGUCUGCAGUCGAUACGGGCAGGCUAGAGUGUGGUAGGGGAGAUCGGAAUUCCUGGUGUAGCGGUGAAAUGCGCAGAUAUCAGGAGGAACACCGGUGGCGAAGGCGGAUCUCUGGGCCAUUACUGACGCUGAGGAGCGAAAGCGUGGGGAGCGAACAG